UACAGAGGUGGCAAGCGUUGUUCGGAAUUACUGGGCGUAAAGCGCGCGUAGGCGGCUUUUUAAGUCAGACGUGAAAUCCCCCGGCUUAACCUGGGAACUGCGUCUGAUACUGGGAAGCUUGAGUUCGGGAGAGGGAUGUAGAAUUCCAGGUGUAGCGGUGAAAUGCGUAGAUAUCUGGAGGAAUACCGGUGGCGAAGGCGGCAUCCUGGACCGAAACUGACGCUGAGGCGCGAAAGCUAGGGGAGCAAACGGG
rnacentral:rRNA from 1 species